GGCCCCCGCGGGGGUCCUGCCCCUCGCCCCUUCCCCCCCUCGCCCGCCCGGCCGAGCCCCGCCGCGGGGCGUGUGUGCGCCCGGAGAGACUGCAGAGGCCGGGGCACUCGUGCUGAAGGAGAAAGGCAACAAAAAAUAAAAAAAGGAACAGAUGACUUCAUUCUCGGGAAGGCUCCGUCCUACGUGGACCAAUUUCCUGGGGACUGUGGUGGAACAGCUCGGCUGCCGUUGGAAGCACUUAAAACUAAACCAGAUAAAGACCAGAAAAUUCUCAGCAUUGCCUGAGCCGAGCAAGGGCAGACACCCGCAGGGACAAAGCCGGCAGAGGCUGGGGAACGAAAGCCAGUGGCUGGACUGGGAGCCUUGGAUCAGGGUGAGGCUCAGCUGGAGGCCCAGCAAGGCAAGAUUAAUUCGGCAGGUCUAAGCUCGGCUGGCCUGGCUCCUGCUUACCCCACCGGAGCCUUCAGCUGGGGGGUUUGUGGGAGGUGGGCAAACUGAGGCCCAGAGAGGGGAAGAAACUUGACAAGAGAUCUGCCACUGGUUAAAGACGGAACCUGGACCAGGACCCAGGAGCCUCUCCUCCCUUUAGAGUGCUCAGUACCCUUCUGUACCCUCAGCACCACUCUGAUCCUUGUGUAGAAUUAUCUGCACGAUCAGAAGUUCAGGAGCUGGAGGGCAGGAGGAUCUGAGGUCAGACUGCCUGAGUUCAAGUACAUACGUCUAAGUGAGACCCGGGACAAAUGAAUUCUUCUCUCUGGGCCCCCACGGUCUUAUGUGUUAAGUGGGGAUGACAGUACCAGCCCUGGGUUGUCUUAAGGAAUAAAGAUGCUCCAAGAAAAGUCCUGGGACUAACCCUGGUACAUACUAAUACUUAA